GACAGAGGAUGCAAGCGUUAUCCGGAAUGAUUGGGCGUAAAGCGUCUGUAGGUGGCUUUUUAAGUCCGCCCGUCAAAUCCCCAGGGCUCAACCCCUGGACAGGCGGUGGAAAACUACCAAGCUGGAGUACGGUAGGGGCAGAGGGAAUUUCCCGGGUGGAGCGGUGAAAUGCGUAGAGAUCGGAAAGAACACCAACGGCGAA
rnacentral:rRNA from 1 species